UUGAAUGUUAAUUUGUUAAAAGUUAAUUGGUUGUAGGUUCUGUCCUGCGGAUAGACGCGAACGGCUGAGUAACACGUAAGAACGUACCCCAUAGCGGUGAAUACCUUAUCGAAAGAUAAGCUAAUACACCAUACGCCACGUUCAGUUACAUGAAUGUGGGAAAGGGAGUAACUUCCCACUUUGGGAACGGCUUGCGGCCUAUCAGCUAGUUGGUAGGGUAAUGGCCUACCAAGGCUUCGACGGGUAGGGGACGUGAGAGCGUGUACCCCCAGAAUAGCACUGAGAAACGGGCUAUACACCUACGGGUGGCGCAACCGGGAAUCGUGCACAAUGGACGAAAGUCUGAUGCCGCGACGCCGCGUGAGGGAUGACGGCCUUCGGGUUGUAAACCUCUUUUGCCAUGACAGAGAUGUCAUGGAGAAUAAGCACCGGCUAACUCUGUGCCAGCAGCAGCGGUAAUACAGAGGGUGCAAGCGUUGUCCGGAUUUAUUGGGCGUAAAGAGUUCGUAGGCGCCCCGUUGCAUCUUGUUUCAAAGACCCUGGCUCAACUAGGGAAAGGGACAAGAGAUGAACGGGGUUGAAAGGUUUCGGAGCUACUGGAACUCACGGUGUAGGAGUGAAAUCCGUUGAUAUCGUGAGGAACACCGAGGGCGAAGGCAGGUAGCUAGGGACACUUUGACGCUGAGGAACGAAAGCCAGGGGAGCGAAAGGGAUUAGAGACCCCUGUAGUCCUGGCCGUAAACGAUGCUCGCUAGGGAUUCGACCUUUGGUCGAGUCUCGCAAGCUAACGCGUUAAGCGAGCCGCCUGGGGAGUACGAGCGCAAGCUUAAAACUCAAAGGAAUUGACGGGGACCCGCACAACCAGUGGAGCAUG
rnacentral:ncRNA from 1 species